rnacentral:rRNA from 1 species
GACGAACGCUGGCGGCGUGCUUAACACAUGCAAGUCGAACGGUGAAGCGCCUUCCUUUUUGGUGGGUGUGGAUGAGCGGCGAACGGGUGAGUAACACGUGAGUAACCUGCCCCCUUCUUCUGGAUAACCGCAUGAAAGUGUGGCUAAUACGGGAUAUUCUGGGUCUGUCGCAUGAUGGGUCUGGGAAAGAUAUUGUUUCGGUGGGGGAUGGGCUCGCGGCCUAUCAGCUUGUUGGUGGGGUGAUGGCCUACCAAGGCGGUGACGGGUAGCCGGCCUGAGAGGGUGGACGGUCACACUGGGACUGAGACACGGCCCAGACUCCUACGGGAGGCAGCAGUGGGGAAUAUUGCACAAUGGGCGCAAGCCUGAUGCAGCGACGCCGCGGGAGGGAUGGAGGCCUUCGGGUUGUGAACCUCUUUCGCCAGUGAAGCAGGCCUGCCUCGUUUGUGGGUGGGUUGACGGUAGCUGGAUAAGAAGCGCCGGCUAACUACGUG